AUUCUCAGCGCUGGGAGCCGCCGCCCCCGCAGCUGCCGCCGCCGCCGAGGCCCAGACUCCGACGCGUGGUAGCCCCAGGAUGGGUGAGUUCAACGAGAAGAAGACAACAUGUGGCACCGUUUGCCUCAAGUACCUGCUCUUUACCUACAACUGCUGCUUCUGGGUGAGGAGGGGUCGCCUUGCCCCCACCCCCACCCCCACCCCUCCCGGGCCACCAUCAGACCUGGGCAGACGCGGUGACCAUUGUGUACUGCUUGUAGCUGGCCGGCCUGGCUGUCAUGGCAGUGGGCAUCUGGACGCUGGCCCUCAAGAGUGACUACAUCAGCCUGCUGGCCUCGGGCACCUACCUGGCCACAGCCUACAUCCUGGUGGUGGCGGGCACUGUCGUCAUGGUGACUGGGGUCUUGGGCUGCUGUGCCACCUUCAAGGAACGUCGGAACCUGCUGCGCCUGGUCAGGAGGGCACAGGGCCACGGGGUGGGGGUGGUGCG
rnacentral:sRNA from 1 species